AUUCAACUGAUUAGUCCCAAAUAGGACGAAACUCAUGUCCUUGAU
rfam:Schistosoma haematobium scaffold156_23, whole genome shotgun sequence.